AGCGAACGCUGGCGGCAGGCCUAACACAUGCAAGUCGAACGAACUCUUCGGAGUUAGUGGCGGACGGGUGAGUAACACGUGGGAACGUGCCUUUUGGUUCGGAAUAACUCAGGGAAACUUGUGCUAAUACCGAAUGUGCCCUUCGGGGGAAAGAUUUAUCGCCAUUAGAGCGGCCCGCGUCUGAUUAGCUAGUUGGUGAGGUAACGGCUCACCAAGGCGACGAUCAGUAGCUGGUCUGAGAGGAUGACCAGCCACACUGGGACUGAGACGCGGCCCAGACUCCUACGGGAGGCAGCAGUGGGGAAUCUUGCGCAAUGGGCGAAAGCCUGACGCAGCCAUGCCGCGUGAAUGAUGAAGGUCUUAGGGUUGUAAAAUUCUUUCACCGGGGACGAUAAUGACGGUACCCGGAGAAGAAGCCCCGGCUAACUUCGUG
rnacentral:rRNA from 1 species